GAGAGCCAGAGCAGAGAAAGAAAAAGUGUGUCACCUUCAACAAAGCGGCAUACGACCACCUGGAGAGCUGAAACCAAUACUUAAGAAGUCUCUUCAGAUCAGUGGAGAUAAUGGAAGAAAUCAAGACCAAAUCCCACUCAGGCUCUCUGAAAACCCUCAUGUUACAACAGAGGACACGGCCACCACCUCUGCUAUUAAGGAGGAUAUUGACAACUCUUCCUCCA